AAACUUCGUACUCCUCGAGCACUCUCCCUCUUGAGUAUUUUUCACUUGGGAGUAAAAUUGAGCAAAUCUCAGCAUUGAUUUAGGUAUUUGAAUGAAUAUGUUAAGUUUAUACAUUUGUUGUACUCCUAAAAUUUUUGAAAAUUUGCCCAGGUUUGGGUAUAGCCCAAUAUCACCGUACCUUCCGACUAUGGGUAAUUUAAAUAUUCUAGCCAAAAUUUCCAACCAAAUUUGCAAUUUGUCUUCACUUCUUCUAUUAUAGGCCCAAUUAAUUGUAGGACGUAGUACGUCCUGAAGCAGUUUGUGAAAUUCAGAUCCAUUUUCUACCUAAUCUUAUUUUAAUUCUGCUCUUCCGGUAGAACAUAUAAAAUAUUGGUCUACAACAUAGUAUAAUAUUCAUAUUGAGGGACCCUUAGAUAUUCGUUGUUUUGAAGGCUUCAGAAUACAUUUUAAUCGAACUAGCUAUGUUAAGCACCUUGAUACUUAUUGGAUAAAAACUCUCCCUACUUGUAUGGGUACAUAUUUUGACAAAAAAAUGCGUACGGGGGAAGGUGUUAGAGGUUCUUAAGUCCUUAUCACAUUUUUGGAAUUAAUUUGAGGCCUUAAUUUGAUAUUUUAAAAUCCAAAUGUUUAAUGCAGUUCGGCAUUUUGAAAUGGUCCCGAGGACCGAUAGUCCUCUAAUUAUUUGUAUUUUGAAGGCCAUAAGUGUAUUAAGGUUUUGACUCAAAUAUUAGGAAUUUAGAGAAACGCGAUAAUAUAAUAAGUUCGACCCGGUCUAUAAUUUCUAUUUCUUUCAUUCGACAUUGCAAAACAAAUUGCCAAUAAUAUAAUUUUCGGUCUGUUACGAUCUGUAAUUUAUCAAACCCGUGUUCACGCAUUUGGUCUCACAGGCUAAGGACUUAUAGUUGUCAGUGAAUUCGAAUGAGUUUUAUACACUCAGCCAUAUGGUUACAGAGGUUACAGGUAUAAAUCGUUAAAAUAACGGUUUUGGAAAUAAUACGUUUCAGGACAUUUGCAGUAUAUCUAGGGGUGCCCGUCUGCCUUUUUGUCUUGCUGGUUGGUGCGCACUAUAACUCGCGAAGAGAGUAUCCAAUUACGUCCAAACUCUGUAGAUCUUAAUAUUAUUAUACAAAAUAGACCGUGUUCGUAGAUAGGCAAUAUUGGUACCUCAAUCACAGUAGGCCAAUAUUUUCAAACAAAAUAAUUUACCUAAUAGUACGCGAGGGGGUAAUUCUUGCUUUGUCAAACUUUGCAAAUUGUCACAUUUUCAUAAGAUCCAGGUCAGGUGCGAAAAUGGACAAUAUCGCCCAACUUAAUAAAAUACCUCCCACACAAAAGGCAAGAAUUUUUAAUAAUUAUAACUCUUGAAAAAGGCGAAAUGAUUGGAUAGAUCAUCUUCAAUUUUCCCACAUCCAACCAACACAAGAUCUUGUAUGAAAAACGGACUAUUCCUUUUGGUGCCUUCCUCACAACAGGGCAAAUUUCUAAAUAACCAAAAUGCUCAAAAAUGCGGAAUAAGCAUCCGAUUCUCUUCGAAUUUCAAACAUUAUAAUAUUUCUGCUAACACAAAAUUUGCUGUGAAGAUGACCCCUUCUGGUACCAUCCCUACAAAGGGAACAAUUCCCUAUAUUUUUUUUUGAUGCAAAGAUAACAUAAUUUGAGCCACUUAAUUUCAAAUCAUUUUUUCUUUUUUCUUUUCUGUAGUGAAGAUCUGUGUUGAACUUUCCCCCCUCCACCUUUCAUGAUUCUCUCAGUAGAUUUUCCCACAGUACCUGGUAGUGCAUUUGCUGUAGUGUUGGUUAUCUUGAACCCAAUAUCUCUACCGUUACAAAAAAAACUGCAAAAUAAAUAGUCUUAAAGCAAAUACAUAUGUAUGUGGGCUUGACCUUUUUCUCCAUAAAAAUUAUGUUUUCAGCUAAUUUAGUUGUUAUUGAACUUUUCUCAAAGAAAAAAAAACUUUUUGUUGUUGCUGUCCUUCUUAUUUUUCUUGUUGUUGACGGCUGACCAGCCACUGAUAAGGCCAUGAGUUUUUUCGUUGUUGUUGUUCUUGUUGUUGGUAAUAACCCAACAUACCAAAAAUACAAUACAGCUUGAGAAUAAUAUUAUGAAAAUAGUUUAUCGUAAGAAUUCCUCAACAAUGCUAGAGAAAAACUUUUUUGCACAAACUUUUCUCAAAUCUGUCCUUUGUUGACAAAUUUGUUUUGAUUUUUUUUUGUGAAAAUUGUCGACAAAAAAAUAUUUUCUUUGGUUAAAAUCAAAAUCACGCGAAUUUAAGACCCAUUUCUGGACGAAACUCUAAGAAUAGAGGCGUCAAAAAGUUGCAAGAAUUCAAGAGAAGUGAAGAAUUAGUGGAGGAGAUGCGGAAGCUCAAAUAAGGGGAAAGAAAUCAUCUAGGUAUCAAUGCAACAGGAGGCAGCGACAGCUGGGAUGGCGAUCAAUGAAUGAAAUGUGUAAAAUAAUUAAAAAAUAAAUAUUUUAUACCAUUGAAAAAAUAA